rnacentral:rRNA from 1 species
GACGAACGCUGGCGGCGUGCUUAACACAUGCAAGUCGAACGGAAAGGCCCUGCUUUUGUGGGGUGCUCGAGUGGCGAACGGGUGAGUAACACGUGAGUAACCUGCCCUUGACUUUGGGAUAACUUCAGGAAACUGGGGCUAAUACCGGAUAGGAGCUCCUGCUGCAUGGUGGGGGUUGGAAAGUUUCGGCGGUUGGGGAUGGACUCGCGGCUUAUCAGCUUGUUGGUGGGGUAGUGGCUUACCAAGGCUUUGACGGGUAGCCGGCCUGAGAGGGUGACCGGCCACAAUGGGACUGAGGUACGGCCCAGACUCCUACGGGAGGCAGCAGUGGGAAGUAUUGCACAAUGGGCGGAAGCCUGAUGCAGCAACGCCGCGUGCGGGAUGACGGCCUUCGGGUUGUAAACCGCUUUCGCCUGUGACGAAGCGUGAGUGACGGUAAUGGGUAAAGAAGCACCGGCUAACUACGUG